UACGUAGGGGGGCUAGCGUUGUCCGGAAUCAUUGGGCGUAAAGCGCGUGUAGGCGGUCCGGUAAGUCCGCUGUGAAAGUCGGGGGCUCAACCCUCGAAUGCCGGUGGAUACUGUCGGGCUAGAGUGCGGAAGAGGCGAGUGGAAUUCCUGGUGUAGCGGUGAAAUGCGCAGAUAUCAGGAAGAACACCCGUGGCGAAGGCGGCUCUCUGGGACGGUACUGACGCUGAGACGCGAAAGCGUGGGGAGCGAACAGG
rnacentral:rRNA from 1 species